AUGAACGCUGGCGGCGUGCCUAAUACAUGCAAGUCGAGCGAACGGACGAGAAGCUUGCUUUUCUGAUGUUAGCGGCGGACGGGUGAGUAACACGUGGAUAACCUACCUAUAAGACUGGGAUAACUUCGGGAAACCGGAGCUAAUACCGGAUAAUAUUUUGAACCGCAUGGUUCAAAAGUGAAAGACGGUCUUGCUGUCACUUAUAGAUGGAUCCGCGCUGCAUUAGCUAGUUGGUAAGGUAACGGCUUACCAAGGCAACGAUGCAUAGCCGACCUGAGAGGGUGAUCGGCCACACUGGAACUUAGACACGGUCCAGACUCCUACGGGAGGCAGCAGUAGGGAAUCUUCCGCAAUGGGCGAAAGCCUGACGGAGCAACGCCGCGUGAGUUAUGAAGGUCUUCGGAUCGUAAAACUCUGUUAUUAGUGAAGAACAUAUGUGUAAGUAACUGUGCACAUCUUGACGGUACCUAAUCAGAAAGCCACGGCUAACUACGUG
rnacentral:rRNA from 1 species